rnacentral:rRNA from 1 species
GAUGAACGCUGGCGGCGUGCCUAAUACAUGCAAGUCGAGCGAACGGACGAGAAGCUUGCUUCUCUGAUGUUAGCGGCGGACGGGUGAGUAACACGUGGAUAACCUACCUAUAAGACUGGGAUAACUUCGGGAAACCGUAGCUAAUACCGGAUAAUAUUUUGAACCGCAUUGUUCAAAAGUGAAAGACGGUCUUGCUGUCACUUAUAGAUGGAUCCGCGCUGCAUUAGCUAGUUGGUAAGGUAACGGCUUACCAAGGCAACGAUGCAUAGCCGACCUGAGAGGGUGAUCGGCCACACUGGAACUGAGACACGGUCCAGACUCCUACGGGAGGCAGCAGUAGGGAAUCUUCCGCAAAGGGCGAAAGCCUGACGGAGCAACGCCGCGUGAGUGAUGAAGGUCUUCGGAUCGUAAAACUCUGUUAUUAGGGAAGAACAUAUGUGUAAGUAACUGUGCACAUCUUGACGGUACCUAAUCAGAAAGCCACGGCUAACUACGUG